GGGGAAUAUUGCACAAUGGAGGAAACUCUGAUGCAGCGACGCCGCGUGAGUGAAGAAGGUCUUCGGAUCGUAAAACUCUGUCCUUGGUGAAGAUAAUGACGGUAGCCAAGGAGGAAGCCCCGGCUAACUACGUGCCAGCAGCCGCGGUAAUACGUAGGGGGCUAGCGUUGUCCGGAUUUACUGGGCGUAAAGGGUGAGUAGGCGGUUGCAUAUGUCAGAUGUAAAAGGCGUAGGCUUAACUUACGUUAGCAUUUGAAACUGUGCGACUUGAGUGCAGGAGAGGUAAGCGGAAUUCCUAGUGUAGCGGUGAAAUGCGUAGAUAUUAGGAGGAACACCAGUGGCGAAGGCGGCUUACUGGACUGUAACUGACGCUGAGUCACGAAAGCGUGGGUAGCAAAC
rnacentral:rRNA from 1 species